rnacentral:lncRNA from 1 species
GUGGCAGUGCCUUUGAGGGAGCUCUUGCAGAGGGCAGCCUUUUGAGGUGAAGAGCCAGAGCUCUGGGUCUUAAGAGUUGGAAAGCAGGUUAUAUUUCACAUCCUUCCCUGAAUAGAGAAAUUGAAUUUGGUCAAGAAUAAGUCCUAAGAAGCAGUUGUGAGCACCCCACCUGUCCAUCUUGUUGAUGAAUAUGGAGUGGGAGAAAAGUUGAGUGUGGGCAUCUGACAAGGUCUUUAUGAUCCUAGAUGCACUUACUAUACCUUCUUCCUCCUCCUCUGCCUUGGCUAAUGGGUUGUGGGUACCCACCGCACAGAGGGCUAUAAGACAGUCCUUGUGGCUGAUGCAGAAGCUGGGCCCUGCCCUCCUGGCCUUCUGAGGAAAGUGAUUAUCGUUUUUGGCUUGUUUUUCAACUAUCCCUUUGCCCCCAGCAGGACUGAACCUUUCCACUCUUACCAUCUCUGGGUCCCUUCAGAUCUUUUAUAGCCUUGAACUACCUGCUACAAGAUUUUUUUCUGUCCUAAGAAUGGAGGUCCGGUCUGCUUCCUAACAUUAAUCCCUUCCACACGGCACAGCCUUGUUUUCUCUAGAUCAGAGAGAUGGCUUCUGGAUUCAUCUUUCCCUGCAAUCCAGCUUCUCCUCCUGGGGCCCUCAUACUGGAGACUGGGAUCAUCAUCCAGGCUUUUGCACUGGGCCAGGAAUUUGGGAGUCAUCCUGGAUCCGUCUGCCCCUGUCAACCUUUCGCUGUCAACGGAUAUUUAUUGGGCGUCCUCAACAGCCAGGCCCUGUUCAUGGUACUGAAGAACAGCUUGUAUAAAACAACCCUGCCCUCACAGGGCGAUCACCAGUGACCUGUGGUGUGGAGUCUCCUUUUACCUAUGUCUCCUCCUUCCCACUGUCACCAUCCUUGGUCCUCCUCUGUCACCUGGAAUACUCCACUUGGUAACCAGCAUGAUCUUAUAACGCUAGUUUUACCCUUGUCAGCACUUUGCCAAAAACCUCAAAUAAAGACUUUUUUUAAAAUGUGCAAUGGAAAAAUAAAGUUAUAAAUUAUAUCAUAACCAGUGGACCUCUUUUUAAAAUGCACUGAAGCCUUAUAAUGUUAUUCAUGGAUAUAUAUCUAUGGUAAAAAUAGAAAAAAUAUAUGAUGGUGGUGCCUCUGAAAGGGAGGGGAAUGGUACUGGGGAAGGGACAAAGGGAACUUCAACUUUAUCUGUAAUGACCUGUUUAUUUUGAAACUCAAGAGCAAAAUUGACAAAAUUUUAACAGUAACUUAACAAAACCUCAAGUCUGGAUAGUGGGUUCAAGAGUGUUACUUUAUAUGGACAGGCAGUGACUCAUGCCUAUAAUCCCAGCACUUUCAGAAGCCAAGGCAGGAGGAUCUCUUGAGCCCAGCCAUCCUCCCGCCUUGGUCUCUUGAAGUUUGAGACUAGCCUGGGCAGCAUAGUGAGACCCUGUCUCUACAAAAAAAAAAAUUAACAGCAACUCAGGAGGCUGAGGCAGAAGGAUUGCUUGAGUACGGGAGGUCAAGGCUGCAGUGAGCUAUGACUGAGCCACUUCACUCCAACCUGGAUGAUAAAGCAAGACUCUGUCUCAAAAAAAAAAAAAAGUGUUGCCUGUAAUCCCAGCACUUUGGGAGGCUGAGGCAGGUGGAUCACCUGAGCUCAGGAGUUCGAGACCAGCCUGGCCAACAUGGCGAAACCCUGUCUCUACCAAAAAUACAAAACAUUAGCCAGAUGUGGUGGGAUCAGUCUGUAGUCCCAGCUACUCAGGAGGCUAAGGCAGGAGAAUCACUUGAACCCAGGAAGUGCAGGUUGCAGUGAGCCAAGAUCUCACCACUGCACUCUAGCCUGGGUGACAGAGUGAGACUCCGUCUCAAAAAAAAAAAAAAAAAAAAAAAAAAGGAGUGUUACAUUAGUUGUCUGUAUUGUAGAUACACUUGUCAAAAUUUAAGCCAUAAAACCCUCAGUGUCCCUCACUCUUCCCACCCCCUUAGCCUGGCCUGGCAUACUGGGUCUUUCACAAGCUUGUGUCAACCUCCUCUACAGACUCAUCUCUACACUGAGGGACUUGCAGUUUCCAAGUGCUCUGGCCUUGGGGCCUUUGCCCAUGCUGUUCUCUUCUGAAUGCCCUUUCCUGCUUUGCUACUUUGUUCUUGCCCUUCUGGAUUCAGCUCCUGGGAGGCCCUGUGGAUAGAAGUCAGAUGGCUCAAGUAGGCAGCUGGUUAGGACCCAGGAGACAGAAACGUGUCUGGGGAGGACAACACUUUCUUGUCCUGGUUUCUAUUCAGCUGCAACUAGAGAAACAGAUCACCUGUUUCUUGUUCAAAACUAGGAUCAGUGAGAGGAGGGUGGAAAGAGUAAGAUCCUCCACAGUACCCUCCCACCUCCCAGCCUCCCCCCACAUAGACUAGCCCCAAGGCAGAAACUUCCCAGCAGAAAAAGGAAAACUGAUAACCUCAUUCCUUGGUCUGGCUCUGUUAGGAUUAUCAUCUGGUUUCCCCUGCUGGUGUUGGAAGAGCUGUGUUGGUGCAGGCCAGUGCUAUCCUGUGACUAGAGGGAAGAAGCUCUGCCUGGGCCUGAUUUGGCCACAAGCUCCUAGUAAGAUGCUGAAAAGGAACACAAACUCUAGGCCCAGGACGCCCUCCCCAUGCCAUCCCACACCUGACUUCUGCGCACCUUGUGAGCAGAUCAGAUUUGGUGUUGCUUCUUCCACAUCAUCCUCGCAUCCCCUUUCACAGACUCGGAUAUAUCCCCUCAUGGGAACCUAUGGAUCUACAGCAUAUCUAUGGAUAUGCCACCCCAUGGCAACUGUCCUUUCCCCUUCAUAGCAUACAUCACCCUGAAUUAUAGCUGCCUGUUUAUGUAUGUGUCUUCUGCACCAGGUGGUACUCCCUGAUGGGGCAGGGAUUGGGUCUGUCUUGUUCACAGUUGCAUCUCCAGCACCUGCAACUCUGCCUGGCUCAGAGUAAGUGCUCAGUACUUUUUGUUUUUGAUUGAAUGAUAGAAUGACGAGUGAACUCUAUUUCCCACUAGACUGUGAGCACCAUGUUGACAGGGACCAUGCCCUGAUCAUCUCUGGAUCCUUAGGGCCUAUAUAGUGCUUGCCACAUAGGAGGUGCUCAGUAGACACUUAUCGAUUUGAGUGAAUGGACUUCAGUUUCUCCACUUACAAUCUGAGUAAGAGGAAGAUAUUCUUUGUCCUCUCUCCCUCCUUCUCCAACCACAUUGGGGGUUGUGGUUGAUGCUGUGAGGUCAUUCCUGCCUUAUUCAACUUCAUGUCCAAAUCUUCUAAUGGCAAAACACAACAUGGUGGCCAAGUCUCAGAGUCCAGGCAUCCCUCCCAUAGCCCAUAGCCAAGUAUGGGAGAAGGGUGCUUCAGGGUCUCUCUCCAUUCACUUUAGUCUCCAGCAUUAGCCAAGAUCCCACUGUCUACCCUGAAUUCUUC